UGGGGAAUAUUGGACAAUAGGCGAAAGCCUGAUCCAGCCAUGCCGCGUGUGUGAAGAAGGUCUUCGGACUGUAAAGCACUUUAAGUUGGGAGGAAGGGCAGUAAGCGAAUACCUUGCUGUUUUGACGUUACCGACAGAAUAAGCACCGGCUAACUCUGUGCCAGCAGCCGCGGUAAUACAGAGGGUGCAAGCGUUAAUCGGAAUUACUGGGCGUAAAGCGCGCGUAGGUGGUUCGUUAAGUUGAAUGUGAAAGCCCCGGGCUCAACCUGGGAACUGCAUCCAAAACUGGCGAGCUAGAGUAGGGCAGAGGGUGGUGGAAUUUCCUGUGUAGCGGUGAAAUGCGUAGAUAUAGGAAGGAACACCAGUGGCGAAGGCGACCACCUGGGCUCAUACUGACACUGAGGUGCGAAAGCGUGGGGAGCAAACAGG
rnacentral:rRNA from 1 species